rnacentral:tRNA from 2 species
UGAAUAUGAAGCGAUAUAUUGCAAUUAGUUUCGACCUAAUCUUAGGUAAAUUACCCUUAUUCUUUAUAUUAAU